AUUGAACGCUGGCGGCAUGCUUUACACAUGCAAGUCGAGCGGUAACAGGCCUUCGGGUGCUGACGAGUGGCGAACGGGUGAGUAAUGCAUCGGAACGUACCCAGAGGUGGGGGAUAACGCAGCGAAAGCUGUGCUAAUACCGCAUGUGAUCUGAGGAUGAAAGCGGGGGACCGAGCAGCAAUGUUUGGCCUCGCGCCUUUGGAGCGGCCGAUGUCGGAUUAGCUAGUUGGUGGGGUAAAGGCCUACCAAGGCGACGAUCCGUAGCUGGUCUGAGAGGACGACCAGCCACACUGGGACUGAGACACGGCCCAGACUCCUACGGGAGGCAGCAAUGGGGAAUUUUGGACAAUGGGCGCAAGCCUGAUCCAGCAAUGCCGCGUGCGGGAAGAAGGCCUUCGGGUUGUAAACCGCUUUUGGCAGGAACGAAACGGUGUCCGCUAAUACCGGGCGCUAAUGACGGUACCUGCAGAAUAAGCACCGGCUAACUACGUG
rnacentral:rRNA from 1 species